CACGUAGGGUGCGAGCGUUGUCCGGAAUUAUUGGGCGUAAAGAGCUCGUAGGCGGUGUGUCGCGUCGGCCGUGAAAACCUGCAGCUUAACUGUGGGCUUGCGGUCGAUACGGGCAUCACUGGAGUUCGGCAGGGGAGACUGGAAUUCCUGGUGUAGCGGUGAAAUGCGUAGAUAUCUGGAGGAAUACCGGUGGCGAAGGCGGCAUCCUGGACCGACAUUGACGCUGAAGCGGCGAAAGCUAGGGGAGCAAACGGG
rnacentral:rRNA from 1 species